rnacentral:lncRNA from 1 species
UUCCUGCCUUUGUCUGUGUUAUCACUUUUUUCAACACUCAUUUGUAUUAAGGUCCAACAUUCGUCUGUAUUAUUCCUUCUUUUUAACACUCGUCUAUGUUUAUCAUUCUUUCAAUACUCGUAUGUAUUGAUUCACUAGUCGGUGUCAAUGAUUUUUCCAAUACUCUUUCAUAUUUAGUUCUAACCUUCAUUCGUAUUGAGCCAUUACCAAUA